UAGAGUGGAAGGACAGUGCUGGAAACAUUCUUCCUGCUAAAGAACCACAGGUCACAGAAAGAGGAGGAAGCUACGACGUCAUCCUACAAGCUCCUUUGACCAAGACCGACCACUUCCGCUGUGUAGUCACACAGGACAACAUCCAUCAGAUUUAUACAGAGACAUAUGUGCAUUUCAGUGACUCCACUGGAUUGGUUGUUGGUGUGUCCGUUCCCAUCAUUCUUUUGGUUGUUGGUGUUGUUCUAGUUCAAACUGAGUUGUAAGAGAGACAAGGAGAACAGAGACACCCUCUGAAUGUCUCCAAUUCAUCGACACCAUUCAGGGAAUCUGAUCCAGAAUCGUAACUAUCUCUCCAUGUGCUGUGCAGUUGUCUGCUCCAGUGUGUGUGUGCUGUAGCAGUUAAACUUUGUGAGAAUCACUUUGAGUUUUAGACCAUACUGUAUGAUAGUGAGGACAUUUUGGCUGCUCCUCACUUUAAUGGUUAAGACCUGGUUUUAAGGUUAAAGUUAAAUUAGUUUCAGGUUCAUUCUGUUAAUGAGAAUUGAAUGAAUAGUUUGUGUUGAACUCUGAUAUUUGCUGUGAUUGAGUUCCACUCUUGUGCAGCUUUAAGAGAACAAAUAUUGACUAAACACACUUUUACUCUGUUAUUAAUGUGGUUGAGGACAAAGACGACUUCUUGCACUCUGUUCUGUUGCUUUUAUUCUUUUCUUUUUUAGAUGAAUUUCAUUCCAGGCAGCAUAAUGUAAAGUCCUAAUCAAACUGCCCACUGGACUCUUGUUGAGGACAUUAUACUGUAGCACCUCGAUGAAUAAGACGGAGCUACACAGAAACAAACUAAUGUGAUAAAUAAUGAGACAGCAAAGCAGGAUAAUAGAACAAGUAAUGACAUCAAAUAAAGUAACACACAGCAGAAUUCAAAUGGACCAAGUUAAAAAGGGACCUGAUUAAAGUCAACUUCUGAUAAAAGAGAAUUUGAUAUCAGUGUUUAAAGCUAAGGGGCUCAGACCAAAAACGCCUCCUGAUGGUCAGAGCAGCACCUUGCAUGGUAGCUCUCUGCCAUCAGUGAGUGAGUGAGUGUGAAUGGAUGAAUGAGGGGCAGAAGUGCAGUAUAAACACUGUCUAUUUACCAAUAUUAUCAGACUGCUUGUAGUUGUUAAAGGUCCUAACUGAGCUACACAUGGCCAUUAAAAGCCUUCACUGAACUAAAGCUGCUCUUACUGGAAAUGAAUGGGAAUGUUUUGCAGCUAAAGUGAAAUAUAAUGUGACUUUGUGUUUUAUUGACAUAUUUGUGUUAUUGACAUUAUUUGGGACAACCCUGUAUUGUUUGUUUAUUUGUUAAGGUGAGUCAGAGUGUGUCAGGUACAGUUCCACACUGAACUCCACACUCAGUGUCCAGUUUAUUAGGUCCACCUAGCUAAAGCUAAUGCAGGCUAAUACAACAGUCCUGCAUAAUAAAGUGUUGCUGACUGAUGUUUGAAUUGUCUCAAAGUUCAUGUAUGUUUCUGUUGUUUGCUGAUGAUGCAUUUGGAAGCUAUCAUGUAAUCUCAGGCAGUGCUUCAUCAUUUCUAUACAAACGUUUGAAUAAAAGCUGAAAAAUGUCAAA